AGUGAACGCUGGCGGUAGGCCUAACACAUGCAAGUCGAACGGCAGCACAGUAAGAGCUUGCUCUUACGGGUGGCGAGUGGCGGACGGGUGAGGAAUACAUCGGAAUCUACUUUUUCGUGGGGGAUAACGUAGGGAAACUUACGCUAAUACCGCAUACGACCUACGGGUGAAAGCAGGGGAUCUUCGGACCUUGCGCGAUUGAAUGAGCCGAUGUCGGAUUAGCUAGUUGGCGGGGUAAAGGCCCACCAAGGCGACGAUCCGUAGCUGGUCUGAGAGGAUGAUCAGCCACACGGGAACUGAGACACGGUCCAGACUCCUACGGGAGGCAGCAGUGGGGAAUAUUGGACAAUGGGCGAAAGCCUGAUCCAGCCAUACCGCGUGGGUGAAGAAGGCCUUCGGGUUGUAAAGCCCUUUUGUUGGGAAAGAAGAGCAGCAGGUUAAUACCCCGCUGUUCUGACGGUACCCAAAGAAUAAGCACCGGCUAACUUCGUG
rnacentral:rRNA from 1 species